AGUUUUAUUUUUCAGGAAGAAAACGCUGACGUUUCAUGCACUAGCUUGUAAAUUGUACCGGUCAUUUCUAUUCCUUCAUCCGAGAAGGAAGCUGCGAUCCAGAAAGCCAAGCCCAGGACCAUGGAGGGGAGGGCCAUUCAGGUUCCAGGAAUUCUUCGCCUUCAGGUUACUUUUUCGUCCUCUGUUACAUCUUAUUUUUCGUUUUUAUUCUUGCAUUCUCGUUCACUGAAAAUGGAAAAAGAACCCUCAAAAAAAAUGGAAAAAGAAAUUUGAUGUGAAAUUUGGUUAUUACGGAGCCUGUUGUAAAGUCAUUGAGAAGCAUGACAUGAUUGGGCAGCCUCACCGUCCAAAGUCAUUUAUCAUUGCACCAGUGGAAUCUCCGUUGCGGCUGCCACCGGCGUCACGCAUCCUUUAGGUUUUUCCCUUUUUUUCCAGCUUGAUCUUUGUAUCUUGUUCAUGCGUGAGAUCUUGGUUAUGAUUGCCUCAAAUUAUAUUGCAUGCUCUAAAUAUUGGUAGAGGAUGCAUAAAGGUAAAUGCUUUGUUUUUUUUUUUAUUAUAAUUUACAGGUGUUAGUGUUCUUGAAGGGGAUAAACAGGGGACAGCCAGUGAGAUUAACCUCCUUAACUCCACUUUAAAAGCUAGCUUAGGGGAGGUUUACAAACCCAUAAAUAACCUAAGACUUCCCGUAGAACCAAUGUGGGAUGCAUUAUUUCCGACACAGACUCUUUUAGGCUGAAUGUUCAUCUGACCUCUCUCGAAGAAGAAGAAGUACGUCAAGGAAUUUUUGUACAUGGCCCACCGAACUCAUUCAGAGUGAGGCUCUAAUAUCAAAUGUUAUAAACAUAGCUAACUUCACCUCAAAAGUUAGCUUUUGCAACUCAUAUAUAUAAUACCCAAGCAUGUAGGGCCGAUAUUGGACGCAUCAGCUGGGAAAAAUCAUAUGACUCUGGUAUGUUAUAAUUUAUGGUUUUCUAGGUUUUAAAAGAGUUCUGCUCUUAAAUAUAUUAAUAAAAACUUAUUCCGUGCUGGGUUUCUUCCAUUUUUGGUUUGGCUGGUUUGAAUUUUUCCCUUUUUUCUUUGUCAAAUUAACCGCUCAUUGAGUCCUGAAGAAAAAUAUGGGUGAAAUAGGGGGUGAAAAUGUGCAAUAAUGGUCCAUUUGUAAUCUCAAUCAACAAGAAAGAUAAGAAAUUGAACCGAUGACACUGGAUUGUUGCUGUAAAUUGCCUGAAGGCAGAAACUCUUGUCAAUUAUAUGAUAAAAUAUGUCUCAUAACAGUGCCGAGCAAAUUUGGCUGCUGAAAAGUGUUGUAGAUUAGUUAUUUACUUGGAGUUGUUGUGAUCGAAAUGCACACACAUUAGAAGUAGAGAAUUUGAGGUCAGGCAUUGCAAAUUUCAUCUCAAAUACUAGAUUAACACAGUAGCUGGACGUGGCACUGCAUAGUUUGACUAGUUUAUAUAGGGUUCACUGUUUAGAGAAGGUUAUUCAUGGAGUUAGGUACUUUUUAUGAAUAUUGACGCAAAACUUUGUUCUUCUUUAGCUUUCCUCAUAAGAAGGAAGGAAGAAAAAGUACAGAAUAGAAAACAGGAUGAACAAGGAACCAUAAUUGUCACUAUGCAUCCAUGCCUAUUUGGUAGAAGUUCACUCCAGGUUGAGUUUUUAUUGUAUACAAAUGUAUUAGCCUGUAUGCCUGUAGAAUGAACUGAGAUUUUGGAAAUGAACUGCAACUUUUAAUCAUGAUUCAAGCUGCAAAUUUUACUUUCUAUAUGCUUGGUAAUUGGAUGAUGAGUAUAUGAAAGGAGGAAGUGCAUAGAGUGGUGCUCUCUUUUAGCUUCCUCUGCUUCAUGUUGACAAUUAUCUGGAUAACAAUAUUUAAGAAAUAGUAGAAGAAAUGGGCAAAAUAUAGAAAUUCAAAAGAAAGAUGUAGCCAUAGCUCUUAAAAAAUAUUUAUCUGAAAUAAGUAUUAUGCUUAGAAUCUUGAAUUGAAUAUGGAAAUUGUUUUAGCACUUACGAAUCCAAUUAAUAUCUAAUUUUUCAACUUUUAAUGAAGCUGCAUUCAAAGUUCAACUGCAAAUGCAACUUGCUGGCCAGAAAGGUCCUUUGACUGGAAUGGUGUCAAUGUCAUAAGCUUUUAGUAUUACUUUAUAAUGAUCAUUUAGUUUAUUAAAUUCUGUUUAAUGAAGUAUCAUUAUACAAUAUAGGGGGAUGUUUAUUUGUUCAACCAUUUAAAAAUGAAUGGCCAAAAGCCUUUGUAUCUGUGAUUGACACCUGCAUUAACAAGAUCAGUUCUUUAUGGAGGUCUCUGUUGAAGGCUGUAUGAACCCUCGAAGAAUGCCUGUAAUUUGGCUUUGGGGUCCACCAAUUUCUUUAUUCAUCUCUAAAAUUCUUUUUUUUUUUUUUUUUGUCUUUGUUCAUCCUUUUAGAGUUUUAACUCUUAAAUUUUUGCCAGAUGCUUUGCAUUUUUCGCAAGAUUGGGUCAACAAUCACAUCUAUAGUGGAUUGAAUGCCAUCUAGCAGCGGAAUUGUCCAUUUAUAUUCACUCACAGAUUUUGUUUUGAAAUGUCAAAGAGCUGCCCUUGUUGCCAGUAAGUCCAGGCUUCAUCAACUGCCCUGGAAGGAGUCCAUUUAUUUCAUUGACUUGUGGCAACCUUCGCCUUUUUCUUCAGCAGCAAUGGUUGUGGUGAUUUUUCCUUUGAUUAUGCCUCUCUUGCUUUGCUUAAGAUUAAAUUAUGGUUGAGAAAUGAGACAUCCAGAUUCCUGAGGAACCGCAUCCCAUUUCUGGGUUUGACCUAGAUCGUUUGGAAACCUGUUACAAGCAACCUGAAAUUGGAACCCACCCAGACUUAUUGGUAUGGGUUUGACCGAGGCUCCAUUUAUUAAAAUUUUAGGUUCUCUUUAUGUCCUGCUCAUGAUUGAUUUGACGUGGUUAUACUUAUAUUCUGCUCUAUCUUAGACUAUGGUUGUGUCUUUAUUAAGUCACAGCUGUUUUGAACCGACAAAAAAAAAAAUGGGUUACCUACUCUGGUAAGCUUUUCAAAAUUGGUUUCAAUUAUGAACCAUGAACACCAUGGGGUAGAACAAGGAAUCCAUCCUCUCUAGCUGAUUGUUUUUCGAAGGCAAGAAGUGGUCAAGCAGUCUGAUCAAUAGACUCUGAAACACAAUAGAAGCCAUACCAAUCCACUUGUAGUCCCAGAAGGGUAGAGGAGACAAACUCAAGGGCCCCAUUUAAAUGGCUUUGCUGUCAGCCGAUCAACAAAUUAAAUGCACCAGAUAGAUAGCCCUUUUUGGUCGUUAGGCACUCUGCUGUGAAAAUUUAGUUUCAUGAAUUUGGGUGGAGCAAGAACCCGAAUGGUAUAUUUUGCUUCACUUCAUUGUACAAAUUUUUUUUGUGGAUGUUCACCCCAGAAUUGGAAAGAAUAAUUCUGUCUUUCCUUGAGGAGUUUAAAGGCACAAAGAAAGAAUUAUUAUUUAGUGAAUAAGUAGCUCAUCUUCAAAGA